GGGGAGAAUGAGAAGGAGGAGUAACAAAAGUGAAAACAAUUUGAAAUAGAUUUCAUUUUUUAGUUUUUGUUUUCACUUUUGUUACUCCUCAUUUCCAUCUUCUCCUCUCAUCUUUC
rnacentral:miRNA from 1 species